UACGUAGGGUGCAAGCGUUGUCCGGAAUUAUUGGGCGUAAAGAGCUCGUAGGCGGUUUGUCGCGUCUGCUGUGAAAACUCAGGGCUUAACCUUGAGCCUGCAGUGGGUACGGGCAGACUAGAGUGUGGUAGGGGGAGAUCGGAAUUCCUGGUGUAGCGGUGGAAUGCGCAGAUAUCAGGAGGAACACCGGUGGCGAAGGCGGAUCUCUGGGCCAUAACUGACGCUGGAGGAGCGAAAGCAUGGGGAGCGAACAGGA
rnacentral:rRNA from 1 species